AUGCUAUCACAGGUGCGGCGGGAAAAUGAUUCCUCACGUGAUCGUUUGCUCCAUCAGUCGUUGGCAAUUGUCGACUGAGGAGAGUUCUUAUGUGUGUCAAUUUUCAAGCAUCGCAAAUUUUAUUAGAGACGCCCAUCGAGAGCUGACAGAUAGAAAAGUUCUUCCGGUUUUCAACAAGGGUGAUUAAGCCGGAACCAUUGUUAGAAGUUUCGUAUGUACUGGAGUUCCAUAUUCAGAGGAGGCUUUUAGAGUUGGAAAAGUUCUGUUUUAUCUGGAAGAGCUUGGUCCUUGGAACUCUAGAACUAGACUCCAGCUAUGGAAGAAAAGCCAGCCAAGGGUCACAUCUCCUUCGAUGAGAGUCACGUCAACAUUAAGCUCCCUAACAGAUGUCGAAGAUGCCACACAUACAACGAGGACCCGGAUGCCCCGAGCCUUCGGGAGAGUUUCGUGAUCCUGCUGAGCAAAAUGAUGCGAUCGCCGAGGGACAUCUGUUUCUGCUGUGCUUGGCCCUUCCGUACAUGGUUUACACGGGGACUUCGCUCCUGCUCUUCCUCUUCUACGGACACUACACGUUCGCGAUGUCGCUCUUCCACUGCUGGCUCAUAUUGACCAUAGUCUGGGUAGGCCUAUUGAAG